rnacentral:ncRNA from 1 species
UGCGCAGCGCGUGCUUGAAGAUGAUGGUGCCGCGGCGCAUGCCCUUGGCGCGCGCCGUGCGCACGUAGUCCUGGUCGAGCACGUCGAGCAUCGACGAGCGCGUCAUGCGCGCGAUGACGCCCAUCUGGGUGAAGGCGAGGGUCAGCGUGGGCAGCGUCAUGCAGCGC